rnacentral:rRNA from 1 species
UACGUAGGGCGCAAGCGUUGUCCGGAUUUAUUGGGCGUAAAGAGCUCGUAGGCGGUUUGUCGCGUCUGCUGUGAAAACCCAGGGCUUAACCCUGGGCCUGCAGUGGGUACGGGCAGACUAGAGUGCGGUAGGGGAGAUCGGAAUUCCUGGUGUAGCGGUGAAAUGCGCAGAUAUCAGGAGGAACACCGGUGGCGAAGGCGGAUCUCUGGGCCGUAACUGACGCUGAGGAGCGAAAGCAUGGGUAGCGAACAGG